CAGCACCUCGAGUGGUCAGGAUGAUUAUUGGGCCUAAAGCAUCCGUAGCCUGCUUUGUUAGUUUUCGGUUAAAUCCAUACGCUCAACGUAUGGGCUGCCGGGAAUACUGCAAAGCUAGGGAGUGGGAGAGGUAGACGGUACUCGGUAGGAAGGGGUAAAAUCCUUUGAUCUAUUGAUGACCACCUGUGGCGAAGGCGGUCUACCAGAACACGUCCGACGGUGAGGGACGAAAGCCAGGGGAGCGAACCGGAUUAGAUACCCGAGUAGUCC
rnacentral:rRNA from 1 species